AGUGAAUGCUGGCGGUAGGCCUAACACAUGCAAGUCGAACGGCAGCACAGUAAGAGCUUGCUCUUACGGGUGGCGAGUGGCGGACGGGUGAGGAGUACAUCGGAAUCUACUUUUUCGUGGGGGAUAACGUAGGGAAACUUACGCUAAUACCGCAUACGACCUACGGGUGAAAGCAGGGGAUCUUCGGACCUUGCGCGAUUGAAUGAGCCGAUGUCGGAUUAGCUAGUUGGCGGGGUAAAGGCCCACCAAGGCGACGAUCCGUAGCUGGUCUGAGAGGAUGAUCAGCCACACUGGAACUGAGACACGGUCCAGACUCCUACGGGAGGCAGCAGUGGGGAAUAUUGGACAAUGGGCGCAAGCCUGAUCCAGCCAUACCGCGUGGGUGAAGAAGGCCUUCGGGUUGUAAAGCCCUUUUGUUGGGAAAGAAAAGCAGCAGGUUAAUACCCCGCUGUUCUGACGGUACCCAAAGAAUAAGCACCGGCUAACUUCGUG
rnacentral:rRNA from 1 species